rnacentral:rRNA from 1 species
CAACGGCAGGCUACACAUGCAGUCGAGCGGUAGCACAGGAGAGCUUGCUCUCUGGGUGACGAGCGGCGGACGGGUGAGUAAUGUCUGGGAAACUGCCUGAUGGAGGGGGAUAACUACUGGAAACGGUAGCUAAUACCGCAUAACGUCUACGGACCAAAGUGGGGGACCUUCGGGCCUCACGCCAUCAGAUGUGCCCAGAUGGGAUUAGCUAGUAGGUGGGGUAAUGGCUCACCUAGGCGACGAUCCCUAGCUGGUCUGAGAGGAUGACCAGCCACACUGGAACUGAGACACGGUCCAGACUCCUACGGGAGGCAGCAGUGGGGAAUAUUGCACAAUGGGCGCAAGCCUGAUGCAGCCAUGCCGCGUGUGUGAAGAAGGCCUUAGGGUUGUAAAGCACUUUCAGCGAGGAGGAAGGGUUCAGUGUUAAUAGCACUGUGCAUUGACGUUACUCGCAGAAGAAGCACCGGCUAACUCCGUGCCAGCAGCCGCGGUAAUACGGAGGGUGCAAGCGUUAAUCGGAAUUACUGGGCGUAAAGCGCACGCAGGCGGUUUGUUAAGUCAGAUGUGAAAUCCCCGCGCUUAACGUGGGAACUGCAUUUGAAACUGGCAAGCUAGAGUCUUGUAGAGGGGGGUAGAAUUCCAGGUGUAGCGGUGAAAUGCGUAGAGAUCUGGAGGAAUACCGGUGGCGAAGGCGGCCCCCUGGACAAAGACUGACGCUCAGGUGCGAAAGCGUGGGGAGCAAACAGGAUUAGAUACCCUGGUAGUCCACGCUGUAAACGAUGUCGAUUUGGAGGUUGUGCCCUUGAGGCGUGGCUUCCGGAGCUAACGCGUUAAAUCGACCGCCUGGGGAGUACGGCCGCAAGGUUAAAACUCAAAUGAAUUGACGGGGGCCCGCACAAGCGGUGGAGCAUGUGGUUUAAUUCGAUGCAACGCGAAGAACCUUACCUACUUCUUGACAUCCAGAGAACUUUCCAGAGAUGGAUUGGUGCCUUCGGGAACUCUGAGACAGGUGCUGCAUGGCUGUCGUCAGCUCGUGUUGUGAAUGUUGGGUUAAGUCCCGCAACGAGCGCACCCUUAUCUUUGUUGCAGCGAUUCGUCGGUACUCAAGGAGACUGCGUGAUAACGAAGAGUGGGAUGACGUCAGUCAUCAUGCUACAGUAGCUAACACACUGCUCAUGCGUUACAAGGGAGCGAACUCGCCGAGACCAAGGCGAACCUCUCAUAAGGAUAC